AUAAUAAAUUACAUUACAUACUAAAUAUCAUAAUACCUCAGUUGAAAGAGUCCGGUUACAAUGUUUGUAAAAAUAUCAAACACUUGAUACUUGUAAAUUUUUCAUCGUUAAAUCUAACAUCUUGACCAUUUAUACUCGUUAGAUUAUAUUAUUCAACAACUAGUCACUUAACCCUGAGGGCAUUCUAACAAUAUAUUUCGUAAUUUAAGGGUUGAAAAUUUACAAGUAUUAAUAACUUGUACUUUUAAAAGUAUAGGAGCUCAAUUCCAUUGAAAUAUAAUCUCAGUAGUCUCAUAUAAAAAUAAAAAAAAUAUAUUGCUGUGCAUUAGC
rnacentral:lncRNA from 1 species